rnacentral:rRNA from 1 species
AGAUACCCCUGUAGUCCCAGCGUAAACUAUGCUCGCUAGGUGUCAGGCAUGGCGCGACCGUGUCUGGUGCCGCAGGGAAGCCGUGAAGCGAGCCACCUGGGAAGUACAGCCGCAAGGCUGAAACUUAAAGGAAUUGCGGGGGAGCACAACAACGGGUGGAGCCUGCGGUUUAAUUGGACUCAACGCCGGACAACUCACCGGGGGACGACAGCAAUAUGUAGGCCAGGCUGAAGACCUUGCCUGAAUCGCUG